rnacentral:rRNA from 1 species
GUAAGGGAUAUUGCUCAAUGGGCGAAAGCCUGAAGCAGCAACGCCGCGUGGAGGAUGAAGGUCUUCGGAUCGUAAACUUCUUUUUACAGGGACGAGAUAGGACGGUACCUGUAGAAUAAGCCUCGGCUAACUACGUGCCAGCAGCCGCGGUAAAACGUAGGAGGCGAGCGUUAUCCGGAUUUACUGGGCUUAAAGGGUGUGCAGGCGGUUGACUAAGUCGUGCAUGAAAGCCAUGUGCUUAACACGUGGAGGCUGUGCGAGACUGGUCAGCUAGAGGGUGUGAGAGGGAAGCAGAAUUCCGGGUGUAGUGGUGAAAUGCGUAGAUAUCCGGAGGAAUACCAGAGGCGAAGGCGGCUUCCUGGCACACUACUGACGCUGAGACACGACAGCAUGGGGAGCGAACGGGAUUAGAAACCCGUGUAGUCC